rnacentral:tRNA from 1 species
AAAAUAGUAGCCUAGUGGACAUGGCAUUUGCCCGGUAAGCGGAACACUGUGGGUUCGAUUCCCAUCCCUGGACACUUUUA